UGGAUGGGUACUAGUAGAUAGGAUGCUGGAGAAAAUUCCCCACCGCAGCGAGUAGCACAGCCGCGUAUAAGCACCGCAAAAUUCGUCACCAAAACGAAGCGCGCAAACGAAAAAUUUCGAAUCGCAAUCCCCCACAACACAACCCCCUCAGUUGCCGUCGUCCUCCUCCGCCUCGAGCUCCCUCCUUCGGCGAUCGCGAUGGCGAACAUGCCAGUCUCGGAGAUGCAGCUGCCUCCCCACCUGGCCCACCUCCUCGCCGCGCGCCGCCUCACCACCGCCAAGGACGUGCUGUCGCUGCCGGAGGUGGAGCUCAUGGCCGUCCUCGACGCCGGCCUCCCCACCGCCCGCGCCGCCGUCGCCCACGUCAGCGAGGCCGCCUGCCCUCCCUGCCAGACGGCGCUUGAGCUUCUGGAGGAGCGCGUCAGGUUAGGAGGAGGCGGGCGGCUGGCCACCACGCUCUGCGGGUUGGAUGAGGCGUUGGGCGGAGGAAUCCCCGUAGGAAAGCUCACCGAGGUCGUUGGGCCGUCGGGGAUCGGCAAAACACAGUUCUGCCUGAAGCUUGCAACGUUAGCAGCAUUACCAGAAUGCUAUGGAGGUUUAAAUGGUCGAGUCGUGUAUAUGGACACGGAAUCCAAGUUCUCUUCACGGAGGAUGAUCGAGAUUGGUCAGAAUAGCUUUCCUCAAAUAUUUCGACAAGAAGCCUUGGCUCAGAAGAUGGCUGGGAGGAUUCUAGUGAUGAGGCCAGCAUCGUUAGCUGAUUUCACCAAGGGUUUGGAACAGAUGAAGGUGACUCUACUUCAGCAUGAUGUGAAGUUACUCAUUGUUGAUAGCAUGGCUGCUCUUAUGUCAUUGGAGAAUGAAAAAGCUACAGCAGGUUUCAGACACCACCCUCUAAGAUGGGCCCUUUCUUUUCUUAAGUCUAUAGCAGAGUUCUCAAGAAUUCCUGUUGUAGUUACAAACCAAGUACGCAGCCAAAGUAACGAUGAUGGUUACCACUUUUCCUUCGAAGUCGACAGGAAGGAUGGUAAUAAUUGCGCUGAAAGGUUUGAUUCUCAUCUUGUUGCUGCUCUAGGGAUCCAGUGGGCUCAUGCUGUAACUGUCCGUCUAGUCUUUGAGUCUCAUUCAGGUCACAGGUUCAUCAAGGUGGCAAAAUCACCUAUGUCUCCAGCAGUGGCAUUUCCAUUCAUUGUUGAAUCAUCAGGCAUUAAAUUACUAAGGGAAGAAGGCAUUGAUGUGACAGGUCCUGAGAUAACCUCAAUUCGUUGUCAAGGGCAAAAUGUUCUGGCUCAAUAACCAUUUGAAUGCUACUACAUCUAGUACUGAACAGGUUUCUAUCCUUCAUAACUUUCCUAUUCGAAUGAAACAAAUGAGUGUAUCUCGUCUGGGAAGAUGUGAGUAGCUGGUAUUCCUGCAGCUUUCAUCCGUCCUGAUAAGAUCUACUGUUGUCUUCACUCGUCAGUCCUAGACCUAGAAUCAAUGGAAGGUACAACAAAUUUACUCAUUAGCUUUGAGUUAUCUUGAUUGCAGAAAAUUUGACUGUGUUUUCAUAUGCUUGACUCUGCUGCUUGAUCCAUUUCUACCAGAUAAUGCAUAAAAUCUUAUGGACCCAUGAUUGGAGAUUUAAUAUUAUACACAGAAAAAGGAAUUUUUAGUGGAAAAAUUGGUCUGACUUGUGUUUGGUCUGGUGGUAGUGGACUUUCUAAGAACGGAUACCAAUCCUCCACAUCUUGUGAUACCAUUUUUUAUACCUCUAUAACCUUGUAUGGUGUGUGCGCCGCAUCAGGCCCGCUUUCUGUUUCCACCCACAGAAAAGAAUAGGAGGUACAGCCCACAGUUGCCACCUUGUGGGCUCCUUUCUCUUAAAAUCCGCAGCUGUCACCAAAUCAUAUGAAUAGUUCGAAUCCUUCUUAGCUUUUGUUAUUUCAAUCUAGGAGUUGACCUUCUCAUCUAUUUGCCCUUCCUGGCUGGAGUGGCAUCCUAAUUCCUAACUAAUCCUUCUGAAAGGAAAAUUGCUCGUCUGGGAAACUUUUGCCCACAUUGUGCCACUAAUACGCAUAGCAUAUUCUGGAGGUUAGUGUUUUUCUAAAGGAGUAGUGUUUGCUUUUGUGAGCUUAGAGAAACAGAACUAGGUUCUAGGGGAAAGGGAACCGAUUGAGGGGAAACAACUGAACUAUCUUGUUAGUAGACAGGAAGAAUCACUUUACUGGGUUUUGAUUGCUUGGCAAUUAAACUAAAAGUCCAAUGCUUCCUUUGGUGCGAUUUUGAUGGAAUGCUAUCAAGAUCACUUUUGCGAGGGAUCUGUCUUAAUUGGAUGAAAGGGGUAUAUGUGUCUAGAAGCACCAAAUUUAUGCAUGUGACUUAUUAUUCACAGGCCAUCUGCAGCACCAAGAGCAAUAAUAUGCACCUGCAAUGGCAAGGACCUAACAACUUAUUCCCUACAUGCUCUGUAAAAGCAGAAAAUAUUCACGAUAUAUAUGUGCUAGUGCGUUUCCACAUUUGGCACUUUGGUAUAUGAAUAAUAGCUCUGGUCACUGCUAUUUGAGGACAUAGACUUUAAUUGAGCAUCUAAAGAAAAUUAGAAUGCAUGAAGACUGGAUUACGUUUAGAAACAACUUUGCUCCCCUGGAAGCGGAUUCUUUUAUUGGUGCGUUGUCUAAUCGGAAACACUGGGUCUGGGUGCCGAGUUCAGCAUUUGACCAUGUCUUAUGUCUGAUGACGCAGUUUUAACUUUUAGUAACUGGCUGUGCUCCCCCAUUCACCACUUCGGUUAAUUGGUUUGGUGAUGAGUUAGCUAAUCAAGGUUACCUUUAAAUUGUACAGUUGUCUUGCUUUAUUUCUGGACCUAAAUAUAGUAUGAUGGUACAAAAAAAUAAAGGGAAAGUGUUACUAAGUUUCUCACCUAGGAGUCAAACAUGGGUAUCUAGUUGUUUGGCAGACUGGCAUUGGCUAUUAGUUGCAGGGUCCAAGGUUUUGUAAGGUCUGAGCCUAGCCAACAUGUGUCUGAGAGCGAAAUGUGACCCAAUUAGAUUGGGUUGUUGAAGAGGAGCUAGGACCAUCCAUAGGUAACUCCUUUUUCCACAAGUGUAGGUAUUGCAAGUACACUUGCAUCUCCCAGCUGCUUCCCUUACCUCAUCCAUGCGGCCCCGUUGAUAGCUCCGGGCAGAGUAUUUGCGCAACUGGAUUGGGGACACCCCCACCAUCUUAGAAAGCAGCCAGUCCGCAAGUUGCAACCCAGUAUCUUGAUUGCCUAAGCAAGUGCCUUUUUUGGACCAAAUAGUUGGGGCCAAGUUUAGGCUAUUCUCUUUAAGAUCCCAAGUGCGCACUUAAGCUAUACCUACUAUUUUCAACAAGUAUAUGGAUACUAAAGUACAGGCAAUAGCACCCUUUCUGAUAAUGUAUUGUUACAAGGUCGUUUCUCAAGUAUCUUACUCAAGUAUAUGGAUACUAAGGUCGUUUCUCAAGUGUCUUACUCUAUUGGGUUUAUUAAUUGAUUUUCUAGACAAAGCACCUAGAAUUAACUACUACCAAUUAUUUUAGUGGAUGGGCAUGAUGAAGUGACACGCAAACCAUAAUAUCCACAAACAAUCCAUUAAAUACACAUAAUUUUCUGAUUGGUUGAGCAGGUGGUGGCAUCAUUUAGUCAUCUGUUUUAUUUGGGUAGUAAAGCUACGGACAGUAUGUGAUUGAUUUGUUGCGUGGUGGCUAUUUCAUAAGUGUUUUUCCCCCUUCUAUUUGAUGGCGUCCUAUCUAAUCUGAUAGGUGGAUGAAAAGGGUAGGCAUCCUAGUGGUUGCCCUUUGUCUUUGCAUCCUAGUCUGUCGGCGCUACCAUAUCUGGUAACUAGUGUUUGCAUAUACUUCCGCUGGCGGCAAAAAACAAAUGUUCAUAGAAUAGAAAUCACACAACAGGCACACAUUGGAAGUUCCAGGUGGGCUUGUUUUUAUGUCCGAUUGCCACUUUGCAUAGACUUUUGUACUUUUCAAUCGGGAAAAUUUAAAUGAAACGAGCUAGGUUCUAAUUCUUUUUGAACUUUUUGAGGGAUUCCUCGAAUUUCAUUCAUGAUCAUGAGUGCUACUAUUUUUCAACUGAGUCAAAUGGUUCUUGCUCUUGUGCCGCGUGUGCCUCUUGAAUAGAAUGUCAAAGGAUAGGAGCCAGAUCUGAUGUGCCCCCUCUUUUCUGGUAGUCAUCAUUUCUGCUCCACUGUAGAGCUCGUGUCGAUCACCGUUGUCACUACCCCAACUAGAACUCUCCUGUACAGUUGCAUGUAAGUCUCGUGCAUUUACCUGUAAUAAAGGUUGUGCUUUUCAGUGAACUUUUUUUUAGUAUUUUCUUUCCUAAGAUCAUGCUAGCUAGACCGCCGCAACCAACGACUACGAGCUCAUAGCGGCUUGGAAAAAUUAUAGUUGCAUCUGGUACAAUAGCAGCAGCAGCAGUAGUCACCACUCACCACCACAGUUUCUGGACUUGCUAUUCUACCUAGGCUGUCGGCGGUCAGCAGUAGGUAAAAAGGCUAUACCAUGGUACCAAUAACAUGCAUAAUAGCA